AACGAACGCUGGCGGCAUGCCUUACACAUGCAAGUCGAACGGCAGCACGGGUGCUUGCACCUGGUGGCGAGUGGCGAACGGGUGAGUAAUACGUCGGAACGUACCUUAUCGUGGGGGAUAACGCAGCGAAAGCUGUGCUAAUACCGCAUACGCCCUGAGGGGGAAAGCGGGGGAUCGAAAGACCUCGCGCGAUUAGAGCGGCCGAUGCCUGAUUAGCUUGUUGGUGGGGUAAAAGCCCACCAAGGCGACGAUCAGUAGCUGGUCUGAGAGGACGAUCAGCCACACUGGGACUGAGACACGGCCCAGACUCCUACGGGAGGCAGCAGUGGGGAAUUUUGGACAAUGGGGGCAACCCUGAUCCAGCAAUGCCGCGUGAGUGAAGAAGGCCUUCGGGUUGUAAAGCUCUUUUGUCAGGGAAGAAACACCGGCUCUAACACAGUCCGGGAAUGACGGUACCUGAAGAAUAAGCACCGGCUAACUACGCGCCAGCCGCCGCAGUAAAAC
rnacentral:rRNA from 1 species